rnacentral:rRNA from 1 species
AGGGAAUCUUCCGCAAUGGACGAAAGUCUGACGGAGCAACGCCGCGUGAGUGAUGAAGGCCUUCGGGUCGUAAAACUCUGUUGUCAGGGAAGAACAAGUAUCGGAGUAACUGCCGGUACCUUGACGGUACCUGACCAGAAAGCCACGGCUAACUACGUGCCAGCAGCCGCGGUAAUACGUAGGUGGCAAGCGUUGUCCGGAAUUAUUGGGCGUAAAGCGCGCGCAGGCGGUCCUUAAGGCUGAUGUGAAAGCCCACGGCUCAACCGUGGAGGGUCAUUGGAAACUGGGGGACUUGAGUGCAGAAGAGGAAAGCGGAAUUCCACGUGUAGCGGUGAAAUGCGUAGAGAUGUGGAGGAACACCAGUGGCGAGGGCGGCUUUCUGGUCUGUAACUGACGCUGAGGCGCGAAAGCGUGGGGAGCAAAC